CAAUAGCGUAUAUUAACGUUGUUGCAGUUAAAAAGCUCGUAGUUGGAUUUCUGGAGGGAGCGUCGGCCCGUAUUUACGAGUGCGUGACGUCUCUGUCCAUCCUUGCGGGAAGGCACGGCAUUGAUUUGUUGUGUCGGAUCGCAUCAUUUACUGUGAAAAUAUUAGAGUGUUCAAAGCAGGCUUUCGCUUGAAUACAUUAGCAUGGAAUAAUAAGAUAGGACUUUGGUGCUAUUUUGUUGGUUGAGCCUAAAGUAAUGAUUAAUAGGGAUAGUUGGGGGCACCUGUAUUGCGUUGUCAGAGGUGAAAUUCUUGGAUUUACGCAAGACAAACAGCUGCGAAAGCGUCUGCCAAGGAUGUUUUCAUUAA
rnacentral:rRNA from 1 species